rnacentral:rRNA from 1 species
AGAGUUUGAUCAUGGCUCAGAACUAACGCUAGCGGCGUGCCUAACACAUGCAAGUCUUACGAGAAAGUCCCCUUCGGGGGAUGAGUAAAGUGGCGCACGGGUGAGUAACACGUGGAUAAUCUACCCUUCAGUCGGGAAUAACUCAUCGAAAGAUGGGAUAAUACCCGACGAUGCCUGUCUGUUUCGACGGACCGGCCAAAGGUGGCCUCUCUAUAGAAGCUACCGCUGAGGGAUGAGUUCGCGCACCAUUAGCUUGUUGGUGGGGUAAUGGCCUACCAAGGCGACGAUGGUUAGCUGGUCUUAGAGGACGACCAGCCACACUGGAACUGGAACACGGUCCAGACUCCUACGGGAGGCAGCAGUGAGGAAUUUUGCGCAAUGGGGGAAACCCUGACGCAGCAACGCCGCGUGAGUGAGGAAGGCCCUUGGGUCGUAAAGCUCUGUCAGGCGGGAAGAAAUGUACAUGGGCUAAUAUCCCGUGUGCUUGACGGUACCGCCAGAGGAAGCACCGGCAAACUCCGUGCCAGCAGCCGCGGUAAUACGGGGGGUGCAAGCGUUGUUCGGAAUUAUUGGGCGUAAAGAGCGUGUAGGCGGCCAGGUAUGUCAGAUGUGAAAGUCCCGGGCUC